UGUGUUUAUUAGCUACCCCUGGUAGAGAACUGCAACGUAAGAAGUGAGAAGCUACUUAUGUUAUACAAUACCACCAUCCGCUGGCAGUUCCUCCUUCUUUCCCUCUGCAUUUCACUGAUGGCUACAGCAAUAUACAAGUAGCUCCUGUCUUCAAAAUUUACCAGAGACUUACAAUUUAGAAGGCCAAAUAGCUCAUAUUUUAUUAGGAAAAAAUAAGCAACUGUAGUGUACCUUUAUUCUACCUCCCACCAGACUGUUUUAACAUGAGGGUUUAUUGAACUCCUUUUCAGACAUCGUUUUAAUUUCAGCUUCUCAAUCUUCAUUGCUACCUUCAGGUUCCCACAGUGGCCCCACUUCAUGCUGCAAUGCAGUGAGGGCCCUCCCUGGAGGAUGCAGGCUUCAGAAACCAGGCUCUGUUGUCAGCCGAGCUUGAUGCUCUGCUCGAUGCUGAUGGAAGAGGAUGUUAUAUGGGUUCCUCCCACCUUACCCCUGAGAGACU
rnacentral:lncRNA from 1 species